rnacentral:rRNA from 1 species
CCUACGGGUGGCAGCAGUGAGGAAUAUUGGUCAAUGGUCGGGAGACUGAACCAGCCAAGCCGCGUGAGGGAUGAAGGUACAGAGUAUCGUAAACCUCUUUUGUCAGGGAACAAAGGCGGGGACGCGUCCCCGGAUGAGUGUACCUGAAGAAAAAGCAUCGGCUAACUCCGUGCCAGCAGCCGCGGUAAUACGGAGGAUGCGAGCGUUAUCCGGAUUUAUUGGGUUUAUAGGGUUCGUAGGCGGUCGGAUAAGUUAGAGGUGAAAUCCCGAGGCUCAACUUCGGAAUGGCCUCUGAUACUGUUCGGCUAGAGAGUAGUUGCGGUAGGCGGAAUGUAUGGUGUAGCGGGGAAAUGCUUAGAGAUCAUACAGAACAGCGAUUGCGAAGGCAGCUUACCAAGCUACUUCUGACGGUGAGGCACGAAAGCGUGGGGAGCAAACAGGAUUAGAUACCCUUGUAGUC